UAGUUUUUCUUCAGAAUCUCUUUGUCAAUUCUUCCCCCUUCCCAAAACACUUCUAGGAUCUUGAUUGGAAUUGAUCAGAUCUACAGAUCAAUUUGGGGAGAACUGGCAUCUUCACAACACUGAAUCUUACAGUCAAUGGCCAGAUGCUGUGUUGGGAGCAUACUCAAGCAGCCCUAGGGGAGGGCCAAUGUGGCAAAGAGGCCUCUUGCCAGCAAGCAGCAUCACUGCCAACUCUAUGAGUGAGCCAUCUUGGAAGAGGAUGCUCCAGCCCCAGCCAGGCGUUCAGAUGAUGGCAGUACUGGCGAGCAUUCUUCACUGAAACUGUAUGAGAAACCCUAAGCUAGAACCACCCAGCUAAGCUGCCCUGAAUUUCUGACGCACAGAAACUAUGUGAAAAGACAAAUGUUUAUUAUUGUGUUAAGCCAUUAAGCUUUGGGGUGAACUGUUAUGUAGUAAUAGAUAACUAAUACAGGGAGUUUUUGUAGAAGAUUUGUCAGACUAAGAAAGUCCCCAUCUAUUCCUAGUUUUAUAAGAGAUUUUAAUUUUUUCCUUUUUCUCCCCAAAGCCCCCCAGUACACAGUUGUGUAUUUUUAGCUGUGGGUCCUUCUAGUUGUGGCAUGUGGGAUGCCGCCUCAGCAUGGCUUGACAAGCAGUGCCAUGUCUGCACCCAGGAUUCAAAUCGGUGAAACUCUGGGCCACUGAAGUGGAGCGCGCGAACUUAACCACUUGGCCACAGGACCAGCCCCUAUAAGAGAUUUUUAAAAAUUACAAAUUGAUGUUGAAUUUUAUCCAUCUAGUGAAUGAACAUAAUAUCUUUCUUUAAUAUGCAAAUAUAAUUAGUUAUACUGGUUGAUUUUCUAAUAUUAAACCAAGUUUGCAUUUCUAGAAUAAACCCAUCUUGGUCGUAACAUAUUGUGAUUUUUGUACAGUAUUAGAUUUAGUUUUCUAACACUUUAUUAGGAUUUUUUGCAUCUAUGUCACUGAGUGAGUGUGACCUGCAAUUUUCCUUUCUCAUAAAGUCUUUAUCAAGUUUUGGUAUAAGGAUUUCGCUAGCUUCACAAAAUUAGUUGGGGAAUGGUUUAGCCUUUUCUAUACUCUGGAUUGGUUUAUAUAAAAUGGAAUUGUUUGGCACUUGAAAUGUGCAUUAGGACUCACUGGUGAAACAAUCUGGACCUGAUUUCUUUGUGGGAAUAUUUUAAGAUAUUGGGUUUUUUUGUUUUUGUUUCAUGAGGAAGAUUGACCGUGAGCUGACACCUGUUGCCAAUCUUCCUCUUUUUGCUUGAGGAAGAGCGGCCCUGAGCUAACAUCUGUACCAAUCUUCCUCUGCUUUGUCUGUGGGAUGCUGCCACAGCAUGGCUUGAUGAGCGGUGUGUAGGUCCAUGUCCAGGAUCCAAACCCAUGAACCCCAGGCUGCUGAAGUGGCGUGUGCAACCUUAACCACUAUGCCACCUGGCCAGCCCCUUAAAUUAUUGUUUUAAUGACUCAAUGGCUAUAGGAUUAUUCAGGGUUUUUAUUUACCUUUGAGUCAGUCUUAGUAAAUCAUAUUUUUUUCUGGCAACUGGUUCAUUUCAUGCAAGUUUCCAAAUCUGUUGAUAUACAUUUUUUCAUAAUUUGUGCUUAUUAUAUAUUUAAUCUAUCAUAUUUAUAGUGUUCUCAUUUUUAUAACUAUUACUAUUUGGAUCCCCUUCUAUCUCUUUUCUUGAUCAAUCUUGUCCAGAGGUUUUUUUUUUUUUUUUGCUGAGGAAGUUUAGCCCUGAGCUGACUACUGCCAAUCCUCCUCUUUUUGCUAAGGAAGACUGGCCCUGAGCUAACAUUCAUGCCCAUCUUCCUCUACUUUAUAUGUGGGAGGCCUGCCACAGCAUGGCUGAUGAAUGGUGUAGGUCUGCAUCCAGGAUGCAAACCCACGAAUCUAGGCCAACAAAGCACAGCAUGCUGAAAUUAACCACUAUGCCAUGGGGCCAGCCCUGAGGUUUUUUAAUUCUAAUAGUUUUUUCUAAAAAUCAAAUUUUAGUUUUGUUAAUCCUCUCUGCUGUAUGAUUUUCUUAAGUUAAAGUGCUAAGAAUUUAGAACAGUGUCCAGCACAUAGAAAGUGUAAAUGUAUGUAAAGUAUUCUUUUCUGAUUUUUUCUUUACUAUUUCUUUCCUUUUACUUUCUUUGGAUUUAUUAUGUUUUCCUUUCUCUAACUUCUUAAGUCGCAAGCCAUUUUGUUCUUACUUUUGGAUCGCUUGCUCUGGGGGAAGCCAACUGCCAUGUGGGGGGCACACUCAAGCAUCCCUAUAGUGAUCAUCUUCUCUUCAAAAGCGUUUAAGGUUAUGACUUCCCUUCUAAGUACUGCUUUAGCUGUAUCACAUAUGUGGUAUAUUUAUGUCACUCAGUUCUAAGUAUUUUUUAAUUCUUAGAGAAUAUAUACUUUGUAAUGUUGUAUAUCUUCCAGAUGUGUCCAUUAGGUAAAAUUGUGAAUUAUGUUGUUCAGAAUUGUUAAACCUUCCUGACAAAUUGAUUUUCUUUAUCUCAAGUAGGACUUUUCGUCUUUAAGUUUAUUUUGUCUGACGUUAGUAUAGUAUUGCUGUUGUUGUUAGUGUCUGCCUGGCAUAUCUUUUUCCAUCAUUCUACUUUAAAAUUUUCUGUGUCACUGUGUUUUAUGUCUCUCUCGUAAACCUUAUAUAGAUAGACUUACUUUUAAUCAAUCUGUCUUUACUUUAAAUGUAAUCCGUUUACAUUUAUUGUGAUUUCUGACAUAGUUGAAUUUCCUGCUGCCAUUUUUCUGGGUGAUUUCUAUUUGUCCCACCUCCCCUCUAUGUAUCUUUUUCUAUCUUUCCCUGUCUUCUUUUAAAGUGAUUGAAUAUUUUUUUCAUUCCUUAUUUCCCUCUAGUAAGUUGGAAGUUAUAUACUCUCUAUGCUUUUAGUGUUUACUCGUGAAAUUUUAUUAUCCAUACCCAACUUUUCAAAGUCCAAAGUUAAUCAGUGUCUUUACUCCACUCUAAACAAUAAAAGACCUGUAGAAAACUUUGACUCCAAUUAUCUUCCUCCCAAUUUAUAUGCUAUUAUUGUCAUGCACUUUAAUUCUAUCUGGUUUUACCUAAACUCCACAAGACAUUAUCAUUAUAGUUUCAUCUAGUCAUUGCUUUUUUGGAUUCACCCAC
rnacentral:lncRNA from 1 species